rnacentral:rRNA from 1 species
AUUGAACGCUGGCGGCAUGCCUAACACAUGCAAGUCGAACGGUAACGCGGGGGCAACCCUGGCGACGAGUGGCGGACGGGUGAGUAAUACGUAGGAAUCUGCCCAUUUGUGGGGGAUAACCCGGCGAAAGCCGGGCUAAUACCGCAUACGCUCUACGGAGGAAAGCAGGGGAUCGUAAGACCUUGCGCUAAUGGAUGAGCCUACGUCGGAUUAGCGAGAUGGUAGGGUAACGGCCUACCAAGGCGACGAUCCGUAGCUGGUCUGAGAGGACGAUCAGCCACACUGGGACUGAGACACGGCCCAGACUCCUACGGGAGGCAGCAGUGGGGAAUAUUGGACAAUGGGGGCAACCCUGAUCCAGCAAUGCCGCGUGUGUGAAGAAGGCCUGCGGGUUGUAAAGCACUUUCAGAGGGGAAGAAAAAAUUGGAGCUAACACCUCCGAUCUUGACGUUACCCUUAGAAGAAGCACCGGCUAACUCCGUGCCAGCCGCCGCGGUAAUAC